rnacentral:rRNA from 1 species
GACGAACGCUGGCGGCGUGCUUAACAUAUGCAAGUCGAACGGAGCGAAUGAAAGCUUGCUUUUAUGAGCUUAGUGGCAAACGGGUGAGUAACACGUAGACAACCUGCCGACAGGAUGGGGACAACAUUCCGAAAGGAAUGCUAAUACCGAAUGAAGUCGAGGGAAGGCAUCUUCCUUCGAUGAAAGAUGGCCUCUAUAUAUAAGCUAUCACCUGUUGAUGGGUCUGCGUCUGAUUAGCUGGUAGGUGAGGUAACGGCUCACCUAGGCGACGAUCAGUAGCCGGUCUGAGAGGAUGAACGGCCACAUUGGGACUGAGACACGGCCCAGACUCCUACGGGAGGCAGCAGUGGGGAAUCUUCCGCAAUGGGCGCAAGCCUGACGGAGCAACGCCGCGUGAGUGAAGAAGGUCUUCGGAUCGUAAAGCUCUGUUGACGGGGACGAACGUACGG